rnacentral:rRNA from 1 species
AUUGAACGCUGGCGGCAUGCUUUACACAUGCAAGUCGAACGGCAGCGGACCUUCGGGUGCCGGCGAGUGGCGAACGGGUGAGUAAUGCACCGGAACGUGCCAUUGAGUGGGGGAUAACGUAGCGAAAGUUACGCUAAUACCGCAUAUUCUGUGAGCAGGAAAGCAGGGGACCGCAAGGCCUUGCGCUCUUUGAGCGGCCGAUGUCAGAUUAGCUAGUUGGUGAGGUAAAGGCUUACCAAGGCGACGAUCUGUAGCGGGUCUGAGAGGAUGAUCCGCCACACUGGAACUGAGACACGGUCCAGACUCCUACGGGAGGCAGCAGUGGGGAAUUUUGGACAAUGGGCGCAAGCCUGAUCCAGCCAUGCCGCGUG